rnacentral:rRNA from 1 species
GAUGAACGCUGGCGGCGUGCCUAACACAUGCAAGUCGAACGUGAAGGUUGAGAUGAGGGCUUCGGGUUUGAUUCUUGGCUGGAAAGUGGCGAACGGGUGAGUAACACGUAGGUGAUCUGCCUCGAAGUGGGGGAUAACCAUUGGAAACGAUGGCUAAUACCGCAUAGUUCUGUUGAUGUGGGAACAUUGACAGGUAAAGCUCUGGCGCUUCGAGAGGAGCCUGCGUCCGAUUAGCUAGUUGGUGGGGUAAAGGCCCACCAAGGCGACGAUCGGUAGCUGGUCUGAGAGGACGAUCAGCCACACGGGAACUGAGACACGGUCCCG